UUCUCUGACUUGUGAGCACGUCUGCUAGCCAAAGUCACCUGACUAAUUAUUUGAACAGAAAAAGCUGUUGCAUACAAGCUGGAAACAUUGUUAAGAUUUUCUGCGGAAACAAAUGUCUAUGGUUUUUCACCAUGAGGGUCUGUAGCACAAGAGAUUUCAGUGCCUCCAGCCACACAGAACAAAACCCUUGUAUCCUGCAGCACUGACCAGCAGUCAGCAAUGGCAUGGGGCUCAGAUGUUUGCAGAAUGCACUCCUGCAAGGUGUCCACCAGGAUAUUCUUUGUUACAGGCAAAUAAACAAUGGGUAAGGGGAAAUGUCCUUUGGAUAAGGCAGCCCGGUGAUGUAUGACUGUGAAAGGAAGAAAAGACAAGGCUGGUAGUUUAAACAGAGAUGUUACAGGUCAGCUCUGGUGACUGCUGGGUUACCUGUUCUGGGAAGUGAUGCCAUUUGCCUGCUAGAAAUCAAAGCUGAGGAACUCAGGAGUAUGACAAAGUUAGUUGCUGUGCCCACAUUUCAGACAAAGAAGAAGGGGAAAAAAGGCAACCACAGACAGAACGGAGAAAGCUCAUUUCAGAGGCGACAGAAAGCUCCCAGAUGAACAGUGGGAGGAGGAUGCAAGGGAAUAAGGUGAAACUCACCAAAG